rnacentral:rRNA from 2 species
GACGGAGGAGGCUAGCGUUGUUCGGAAUUACUGGGCGUAAAGCGUGCGCAGGUUGUGAGAUCAGUUGGAUGUGAAAGCCCGGGGCUUAACCUCGGAUGUGCAUCCAAUACUGUCUCGCUGGAGGUUGGAAGAGGAGAGUGGAAUUCCCAGUGUAGAGGUGAAAUUCGUAGAUAUUGGGAAGAACACCAGUGGCGAAGGCGGCUCUCUGGUCCAUACCUGACACUCAUGCACGAAAGCGUGGGGAGCAAAC